rnacentral:rRNA from 1 species
UACGUAGGGUGCAAGCGUUAAUCGGAAUUACUGGGCGUAAAGCGUGCGCAGGCGGUUCGCUAAGACAGAUGUGAAAUCCCCGGGCUUAACCUGGGAACUGCAUUUGUGACUGGCGGGCUAGAGUAUGCAGAGGGGGGGUAGAAUUCCACGUGUAGCAGUGAAAUGCGUAGAGAUGUGGAGGAAUACCGAUGGCGAAGGCAGCCCCCUGGGCCAAUACUGACGCUCAUGCACGAAAGCGUGGGGAGCAA